rnacentral:misc_RNA from 1 species
GUUUAUCUCAAAAAAGUCUUCAAUCACUAAAAUUUGGUGUAUGAAUUAAGAAGGGUCAAAAGAAAGAAAUUAGUUUAUUGAAUCAAUGAGUCUCUUUUAAUUAUUACAAUGGCUCAAUUAAAUUCUGAAUUAUGUACACUUUCUAGAUCUGUAAGAAUUUAUUUAAUCAAGAUCUAUUAUUAGAGUGAUAGCUGAAUCUUAUAUUUAUGAUUCACAUUAUAUUUAUAAUUUUUAUGAUUUAUUAAAAAUUAUUUUACAUGCCACUCCAACGUACCAAAGCCACAAAUAGAUCAAACUAAAAAAGCUUUCACAAAGUCCUUUAGAUUAAUAGAAACAACACAACAAAGUCCUAUUUACUCCCACACCAAGAUGAGUACAGCUACUUGCAUUAAGUUGGAACAAAGGACAGGAGAAGAUCUAAAGGGAAACACUCUGCUCGAUUGAUAAAAAGAAAGAGAUUGAGAGAACUCUCUUUCUCUCAAAUUUAGAGAGAGAAAUAAUAAAAAAUUGAUAUAAAUUUAAUUUUAUAUAAAAACGAG